UGGAGCAUGUGGUUUAAUUUCGAUGAUAACGCGAAAAACCUUACCCGGGCUUGACAUGCAUCAGACAGGCGUAGAGAUACGCCCUCCGCGAGGCUGGUGCACAGGUGCUGCAUGGUUGUCGUCAGCUCGUGUCGUGAGAUGUUGGGUUAAGUCCCGCAACGAGCGCAACCCCUACCGUGUGUUACCAUCAUUAAGUUGGGGACUCGCACGGAACUGCCGGUGAUAAACCGGAGGAAGGUGGGAUGACGUCAAAUCCUCAUGGCCUUUAUGUCCGGGGCUACACACGUGCUACAAUGGUCGGUACAGAAGGAAGCGAAGUCGUGAGAUGGAGCAGAUCCGAGAAAGCCGAUCUCAGUUCGGAUUGGAGUCUGCAACUCGACUCCAUGAAGUCGGAAUCGCUAGUAAUCGUGGAUCAGCAUGUCACGGUGAAUACGUUCCCGGGUCUU
rnacentral:rRNA from 1 species